CGCACCUUGCGCUCCCUGGUAUUCCGGGGAGCACGCCUGUUCGAGUGUUAUGAAACUAUCAGUCAGCCUAUUAGCUUUAUUGCCUAAUAGUUGAUUGGAUUUGAGCUCUGCCGUGUUAAAGCGGCUGGUUCUAAAAGCAUUAGCUGGUCCUUGAAUUGGUCUUUUUUCUUGGUUCUACUCGGCGUGAUAAUUAUCUAACGUUGAGGACACUUUUCUUAACUGAAGAGUGGCCAAGGGGGAAGGCUUUUCUUAUAGGGGGCUGCUUCUAAUCAGUCUUCAUAGACAAUUAUUACUAUUCAAUAUGACCUCGAAUCAGGUGGGACUACCCGCUGAACUUAA
rnacentral:misc_RNA from 1 species